UGAAGCUAUUCGUGAUUCCCUCCAUCUUCACUAAAGCCCCAGUUCCAGCUGAAGAACAGCAGCCCCAAAGCUUGAUGCUGUCACCAGCAGGCUUCUCCAUGGGUAUGGUGUUCUUUUGCUGAUGUCCUGUGUUGUUUUUGUGCCAAACAUAUCUUUUACUAUUUUGUAGUUUUACUAUUAUGUUAUGUUCAAAAAGUUCAAUCUUGGUCUCAUCAGAUCAUAACACAUUUUUCCACUUGGUUUUGGGAGGCUGGAUAUAUUGCAAAGUUUAGCCGGUCUUGGAUGUUUGUUUGUUUGUUUGUUUGUUUGUUUGUUUGUUUGUUUGUUUGUUUGUUUGUUUGUUUGUUUGAUUCAUCAGAAAAGGCUUGCAUCUUGCCCCCCUGGCCCAUAGCCCAUAGCCCAGACAGAUGAAGAAAACAGGAGAUAGUUGUCACAGCCCUCUCCUGAGCAAUACCUUUGAACAAUGAGAUCCAGUUGACGCUUAGUAAGCUUUUUGUGGCCCAUGGCUCUUUCAGUGGAAUGCAACCAAGCAGAUGUCAGAAAAAUCCAGGAGCUGUUGUUGCAUCCAACCGGGGCAUUGGCCUGGCUGACCUUGCCCUGUACAGCACGGCUCUUCACCAAUAAUCACUAGCUGUUGUUGGGGCCUCGGCCUUGCCCUUGACCUGUUGCGGCCUAUGGGGAGGAGCUGUUGCUGCAGUCAGCUGGAGAGCAACAAGCACAUAUUGGUAUGAUGCUGAGAUGUUGUGGGGUUGUGUGAGCUUACUGUAAAAACUGAGAUGUGGGGACAUGGAGAAAAAGUUUGAAUACCUCUACUUUAAACCACUGAUGCAUCAUUGUAAAUCAAGCACAAGCCCACUGCAUCAUAUUUAUAUUUAACAACCACUCAUGUUCACUGUAAAUUAUUAUAUGUUAACUGUAAAUUACUGUUUAUGAGAUACAUUGCUGUAAAGUUUGUAUAUUGUGUAGAAAUACUGCAUAUUGCAUACUGUAUAUUCUGGAAAUUAUGUUCUCUGUUUUUGACUCUAGCAGCAUGACAAGUUGCUUGUACACAUAUACAUAUACAGAUUCUGAUUCUGAUUAAACUUCAAACCAGUAUUUACCGGUGAACCACAAAUAUUUCACCCUUCAUAAGCCACAAGCAGUGGCAGGAAAACCUAUAUAAAGUAUGUGUGAGUAACGAAGUCAAUGUUAUUUACAAAAACAGAUUAUGCCCAGAGAAUUUAAUCCAGGCUAAUGGAGCUUGAAAACAGUUUAAUCAAACAAGCAGAGCAAGACAUUUGUUUACUCAAGUUUGUUCCACCUGAUAGAGAGAUUGGACUUUGACCAUGAAGAAAUCCAGCCACUUUUAGCUCAGCCUGUGAUUAAUGUUCAUUAUGGCCCACAAUCAGUGAUUGUCUAAUAGUACCAGGCUGAAUAUAUAAUGGCUUCUUAAUCUGUGUAAUGUAUACUGUAUAUGAUACAGUGGUGGAAAAAGCAAAGGAAAUCCCAGACACUGGGGGAACAUUCACAGACAGUAGCCUGAGCUCAGGAUCAACCAGAGACCCUUAAACUGUGAGGUGGCAAUGCUGCCCACUUGCCAUUUCUGCAGUUUUUAAUUACACUGCAAUGGAAAAAAUGCCCUUGGUACAGAGGAAUAGCAGAAGGAGAGACGGUUACAUGUCGUUUCCGCUUUCAUAGAAAUGUAAUUCUGUAUACCACAAUGUUCCCUAAAAAAUUAUGGGCAAUAUGGAAGUUUGAUUUUGUUCCUGCACCAUUUUCUUUAUUUUUUAGAGAAUGUCUGCGUUAAACAGUUCGAGUCAGAAGAGCUUAUUACCCACAAUGCAAAAUGCUACUGUUUAUGAUGCUUCUUAUAUAGAGAUGUAUAUUUGAUACAUUUAUGAAGUUUAUGAAGCAGAGAUGGUCUGAACAAGCUCUAUGAGAACAGCCAGAAGAAAGCACCUUGAUAGUUCACAGUAGUACACAGCAAUAUGGGCAGCAAUUGUGAGUUCAAAGCUUAUCACUGCAUAAGAGCCAAUACUCUGGC